rnacentral:lncRNA from 1 species
UGGGUGGAUCAAGGUGGUGAUCUCUUUUCGUCCUGUAGCAAAGUAGACUUGUGGGUGUGGUCUGCCUUCACUGAGAUGGAAAUAAGAAAUUACAACUAGAGACCAUCAGAUCUGUAAGGCCUGGAGAGCCACGCAGAAGGAUGCAGACUGGUCAUCGGGCAGGAGUAUUGGUGCACAGAUGGCCAGUAUUGGAGGCUGAGACUUGAGAGAUGUCAAACAUCUGAGUGGGAUGGGAAAAAAUGAAGCUGAGAGUGUUGCAAUGAACUUCCCAAGGUCAUUCAUCUGAUUAUUUUAGAAACAUCCUAUUGAAGUCCAUAAAAAUCCUUUUGAAAUUUGCAUUGAGAUUGACUUGAUGUGUAUUGGGGACCGUGCUAGGCACCAGAGAAACAAUGAUGAGCAAGAUAGGCAUUAUCUGUACUGAAGAGAGCUUACAGGCACUCAACAUUUCCUAUCAUUUGCUGACCACCUCAUGUGUGCCACUUGAGCCUGUUGCUAGCCGUGGAUUCAAAGGAAACAGAUGGCAAGAGAUGACUAAUGCAUAGCCUUUGACCUAGAGGAGCUCAUAAUUUACUGAUGGAGAACCCAUGGAGAACAUUCACGGCUCCUUCUCUUGAGGAGUUCAUGGUGUGAAAUAGGAAGUCAAGUGCAAUACCUGUCACAGGUAUGAGAAACUUAUCUAGAUUUAGUGUCCCAAUAAUGGCUGGAGAGUUUUUCUGACCACAUCCAAUCUUCUUUUGGGACCUGGUUAUGCUUUACGUGUCGAGUUAA